UACGGAGGGUGCAAGCGUUAUCCGGAUUUACUGGGCUUAAAGGGUGCGUAGGCGGGUCUGUAAGUCAGUGGUGAAAUCUCCGGGCUUAACCCGGAAACUGCCAUUGAUACUAUAGGUCUUGAAUAUCCUGGAGGUGAGCGGAAUAUGUCAUGUAGCGGUGAAAUGCUUAGAUAUGACAUAGAACACCAAUUGCGAAGGCAGCUCACUACGGGAUUAUUGACACUGAGGCACGAAAGCGUGGGGAGCAAACAGG
rnacentral:rRNA from 1 species